UAGGGAAUAUUGGUAAUGUGCGAAAGCGCGAACCAGCAACGCCGCGUGCACGAUGAAGGCCUUCGGGUUGUAAGGUGCUUUUAGAGAGGAUGAGGAAGGACAGUACUUUCUGAAUAAGCCUCGGCUAACUACGUGCCAGCAGCCGCGGUAAAACGUAGGAGGCUAGCGUUAUCCGGAUUUACUGGGCGUAAAGCGCGUGCAGGUGGUUUCGUAAGUUGGAUGUGAAAGCUCCUGGCUUAACUGGGAGAGGUCGUUCAAAACUGCGAGGCUUGAGAGUGGUAGAGGGAGGUGGAAUUCCGGGUGUAGUGGUGAAAUGCGUAGAUAUCCGGAGGAACACCAGUGGCGAAAGCGGCCUCCUGGACCAUUUCUGACACUCGGACGCGAAAGCUAAGGUAGCAAACG
rnacentral:rRNA from 1 species